rnacentral:lncRNA from 1 species
UAAGCUGGAGAACAUUCACGCUAAAACGGUCAAGGUAUGGAUAAUUUCUGGUGUUAUGUUUAUGUUUUCAUAAAUUUCAAAAUUUAAAGUCGAUAACAAUAAUUUUAACGAACAUGUUGUAGAGUCUGGUGUACCAACUCUGUAAAGGUGUUGCUUUUGCCACACGCAUGCAAUGUUACACAGGUAAUUUCUUCAAUCUCCACUUAAAUUAGAUACAGAGCUUGUUCUCUUUCUUGCAUUCUUUCUUCGUCCCAGGGACCUUAAGCCUCACCGCCUUAUGGAUUGAGAGACAAUGUCGCUUCUUUUAAUAAAAAAUACACUUAUGAGGUAAAGUUUGUUUCUUUGUUAAUUGUUUUAUUGUAUGCAAAAUAUAUUAUCUUUAAAUGUUGGUCAACUUUGGG